AUACGUAGGGGGCGAGCGUUGUCCGGAAUGAUUGGGCGUAAAGGGCGCGUAGGCGGCGCGGUAAGUCUGGAGUGAAAGUCCUGCUUUCAAGGUGGGAAUUGCUUUGGAUACUGCCGCGCUUGAGUGCAGGAGAGGUUAUCGGAAUUCCCGGUGUAGCGGUGAAAUGCGUAGAGAUCGGGAGGAACACCAGUGGCGAAGGCGACUUACUGGACUGUAACUGACGCUGAGGCGCGAAAGUGUGGGGAGCAAACAGGAUUAGAUACCCUGGUAGUCCACACGGUAAACGAUGAAUGCUAGGUGUAGGGGGUAUCGACCCCUUCUGUGCCGCAGUCAACACAAUAAGCAUUCCGCCUGGGGAGUACGGCCGCAAGGUUGAAACUCAAAUGAAUUGACGGGG
rnacentral:rRNA from 1 species